AAACCGUAUGAGUGAGUAAAUGAUAAACUCUGCUGACUGAAUACUUUGAAUCUCGGAUACCACCUCUAACAUUCUUGAACACCAACCUGCAAAAAAAAGUGUUCCAGCAUAGCACAAUACUCAAAAUCCUUCCUCCCACACAAAAUGACUCUGCAGCCAACUCCCUACUAUACAAAUCCGCCACCGGAUAAAUCAAACAACCUAUUAAGUCUUAUAUUAAGAGAUUCUCACCUAGCCACUUGUCUUUUCAAAAACAUGUGUGUUUCCCAUUAUCCACCUUCCUAUGAAUAUUAUUUUCCGACAAAUAAGGUAUGACUUCUUCCAAGACCAGCUACACUAAUUAAAGAGAAGACAAAGUUAUGGCUUAAUUAUCACUUUUUUAGAUGGAAUGCAUAAGA
rnacentral:lncRNA from 1 species